AGUGAACGCUGGCGGUAGGCCUAACACAUGCAAGUCGAACGGCAGCACAGUAAGAGCUUGCUCUUACGGGUGGCGAGUGGCGGACGGGUGAGGAAUACAUCGGAAUCUACUUUUUCGUGGGGGAUAACGUAGGGAAACUUACGCUAAUACCGCACACGACCUACGGGUGAAAGCAGGGGAUCUUCGGACCUUGCGCGACUGAAUGAGCCGAUGUCGGAUUAGCUAGUUGGCGGGGUAAAGGCCCACCAAGGCGACGAUCCGUAGCUGGUCUGAGAGGAUGAUCGGCCACACUGGAACUGAGACACGGUCCAGACUCCUACGGGAGGCAGCAGUGGGGAAUAUUGGACAAUGGGCGCAAGCCUGAUCCAGCCAUACCGCGUGGGUGAAGAAGGCCUUCGGGUUGUAAAGCCCUUUUGUUGGGAAAGAAAAGCAGCAGGUUAAUACCCCGCUGUUCUGACGGUACCCAAAGAAUAAGCACCGGCUAACUUCGUG
rnacentral:rRNA from 1 species